rnacentral:rRNA from 1 species
GAUGAACGCUGGCGGCGUGCCUAAUACAUGCAAGUCGAGCGAACAGACGAGGAGCUUGCUCCUUUGACGUUAGCGGCGGACGGGUGAGUAACACGUAGGUAACCUACCUAUAAGACUGGGAUAACUUCGGGAAACCGGAGCUAAUACCGGAUAAUAUUUCGAACCGCAUGGUUCGAUAGUGAAAGAUGGCUUUGCUAUCACUUAUAGAUGGACCUGCGCCGUAUUAGCUAGUUGGUAAGGUAACGGCUUACCAAGGCAACGAUACGUAACCGACCUGAGAGGGUGAUCGGCCACACUGGAACUGAGACACGGUCCAGACUCCUACGGGAGGCAGCAGUAGGGAAUCUUCCGCAAUGGGCGGAAGCCUGACGGAGCAACGCCGCGGGAGUGAUGAAGGUCUUCGGAUCGUAAAACUCUGUUAUUAGGGAAGAACAAACGUGUAAGUAACUGUGCGCGUCUUGACGGUACCUAAUCAGAAAGCCACGGCUAACUACGUG